rnacentral:rRNA from 1 species
ACACAUGCAGCCGAGCGGUAUUGUUUCUUCGGAAAUGAGAGAGCGGCGUACGGGUGCGGAACACGUGUGCAACCUGCCUUUAUCUGGGGGAUAGCCUUUCGAAAGGAAGAUUAAUACUCCAUAAUAUAUUGAACGGCAUCGUUUAAUAUUGAAAGCUCCGGCGGAUAGAGAUGGGCACGCGCAAGAUUAGCUAGUUGGUGAGGUAACGGCUCACCAAGGCGAUGAUCUUUAGGGGGCCUGAGAGGGUGAUCCCCCACACUGGUACUGAGACACGGACCAGACUCCUACGGGAGGCAGCAGUGAGGAAUAUUGGUCAAUGGGUGCAAGCCUGAACCAGCCAUCCCGCGUGAAGGACGACUGCCCUAUGGGUUGUAAACUUCUUUUGUAUAGGGAUAAACCUACCCUCGUGAGGGUAGCUGAAGGUACUAUACGAAUAAGCACCGGCUAACUCCGUGCCAGCAGCCGCGGUAAUACGGAGGGUGCAAGCGUUAUCCGGAUUUAUUGGGUUUAAAGGGUCCGUAGGCGGACUUAUAAGUCAGUGGUGAAAGCCUGUCGCUUAACGAUAGAACUGCCAUUGAUACUGUAAGUCUUGAGUAUAUUUGAGGUAGCUGGAAUAAGUAGUGUAGC